AUGCAUGUCUAAGUAUAAGCAUUUAUACAGCGAAACUGCGAAUGGCUCAUUAUAUAAGCUAUAGUCUAUUCGAUAAUACCCUACUACAUGGAUAACCGUGGUAAUUCUAGAGCUAAUACAUGCGUAAAGGGGCGACUUCGGAAGCCCUGUAUAUAUUAGAUACAAAGCCAACUCGUUGGUGAUUCAUAAUAUCUGUCGGAUCGCACGGCCUUGCGCUGGCGAUGGUUCGUUCGAAUUUCUUCCCUAUCAACUUUCGAUGCGAGGGUAGUGUCCUCGCAUGGUGGCAACGGGUAACGGAGGGUUAGGGCUCGACCCCGGAGAAGGAGCCUGAGAAACGGCUACUACAUCCAAGGAAGGCAGCAGGCGCGCAAAUUAUCCAAUACCGAUUCGGUGAGAUAGUGACAAUAAAUACUGAUACGGGGCUCUUUAGGGUCCUGUAAUCGGAAUGAGUACAAUUUAAAUCUCUUAACGAGGAACAAGAAGAGGGCAAGUCUGGUGCCAGCAGCCGCGGUAAUUCCAGCUCUUCUAGCGUAUACUAAAGUUGUUGCGGUUAAAAAGCUCGUAGUUGAAGGUUGGGUGUGGGCGGCUGUCCUCCGCGAGGAGCGUACGGCGGCGCACACCUUUUGUCUGUGGAGCGGCAUGUCCUUCAUUGGGCGUGUCGGGACACAGGACGGUUACUUUGAAGAAAUUGGAGUGCUCAAAGCAGGCGCAUGCUCGAACAGUUCAGCAUGGAAUAACGAAAUAGGACGUAGAUUCUAUUCGUUGGUUUCAGAAUCUGCGUAAUGAUUAAUAGGGACAGUCGGGGGCAUCAGUAUUGUGUGGUCAGAGGUGAAAUUCUUGGACCCACGCAAGACUAACUAGUGCGAAAGCAUUUGCCAAGGAUGUUUUCAUUGAUAAGGAGCGAAAGUUAGGGGAUCGAAAACGAUCAGAUACCGUUGUAGUCUUAACCAUAAACGAUG
rnacentral:rRNA from 1 species